UAGCUAGUUGGUGGGGUAAGGGCCUACCAAGGCGACGAUCGGUAGCUGGUCUGAGAGGAUGACCAGCCACACUGGAACUGAGACACGGUCCAGACUCCUACGGGAGGCAGCAGUGGGGAAUAUUGGACAAUGGGGGCAACCCUGAUCCAGCAAUGCCGCGUGUGUGAAGAAGGCCUGAGGGUUGUAAAGCACUUUCAGUGGGGAGGAGGGUUGAUAGGUUAAGAGCUAAUUAACUGGACGUUACCCACAGAAGAAGCACCGGCUAACUCCGUGCCAGCAGCCGCGGUAAUACGGAGGGUGCGAGCGUUAAUCGGAAUUACUGGGCGUAAAGGGUGCGUAGGUGGUUGAUCAAGUUAUCUGUGAAAUUCCUGGGCUUAACCUGGGACGGUCAGAUAAUACUGGUUGACUCGAGUAUGGGAGAGGGUAGUGGAAUUUCCGGUGUAGCGGUGAAAUGCGUAGAGAUCGGAAGGAACACCAGUGGCGAAGGCGGCUACCUGGCCUAAUACUGACACUGAGGCACGAAAGCGUGGGGAGCAAACAGGAUUAGAUACCCUGGUAGUCCACGCUGUAAACGAUGUCAACUAGCUGUUGGUUAUAUGAAAAUAAUUAGUGGCGC
rnacentral:rRNA from 1 species